UACGGAGGGUGCAAGCGUUAAUCGGAAUUACUGGGCGUAAAGCGCACGCAGGUGGCUGAGUCAGUCGAUUGUGAAAGCCCUGGGCUUAACCUGGGAAUUGCAGUCGAUACUAACUCAGCUAGAGUAUGGGAGAGGGUAGUGGAAUUCCCGGUGUAGCGGUGAAAUGCGUAGAUAUCGGGAGGAACAUCAGUGGCGAAGGCGGCUACCUGGCCCAAUACUGACACUCAGGUGCGACAGCGUGGGGAGCAAAC
rnacentral:rRNA from 1 species